CACGUAGGGGGCAAGCGUUGUCCGGAUUUAUUGGGCGUAAAGAGCUCGUAGGCUGUUCGAUAAGUCGGGUGUGAAACCUCCAGGCUCAACCUGGAGACGCCACCCGAUACUGUCAUGACUAGAGUCCGGUAGGGGAGACUGGAAUUCCUGGUGUAGCGGUGAAAUGCGCAGAUAUCAGGAGGAACACCGGUGGCGAAGGCGGGUCUCUGGGCCGAUACUGACGCUGAGGAGCGAAAGCGUGGGGAGCGAACAGG
rnacentral:rRNA from 1 species